AAGUCGUAACAAGGUUUCCGUAGGUGAACCUGCGGAAGGAUCAUUACCGAGUGCGGGCCCUCUGGGUCCAACCUCCCAUCCGUGUCUCUUGUACCCUGUUGCUUCGGCGGGCCCGCCUUCAUGGCCGCCGGGGGGGCUCUCUAGCCCCCCGGGCCGCGCCCGCCGGAGACUCCAACAUUGAACACUGUCUGAAGUUUGCAGUCUGAGUUUUCAUAUAAGAAAAAUCGUUAAAA
rnacentral:misc_RNA from 1 species